GGUUGAUCCUGCCAGUAGUCAUAUGCUUGUCUCAAAGAUUAAGCCAUGCAUGUGUAAGUAUAAACUCUUUUGUACUGUGAAACUGCGAAUGGCUCAUUAAAUCAGUUAUAGUUUCUUUGAUGGUACCUUGCUACUCGGAUACCCGUAGUAAUUCUAGAGCUAAUACGUGCACAAACUCCCGACUCCGGCCCCUCCCCCCAAAGGGGGGGGUUUGUGGUGGAAGGGACGUAUUUAUUGGAUAAAAGGCCGAUGCGGGCUUGCCCGGUGUUGCGGUGAAUCAUGAUAACUUGUC
rnacentral:rRNA from 1 species